GUAACACGUGGGUAACCUGCCCAAGAGACUGGGAUAACACCUGGAAACAGAUGCUAAUACCGGAUAACAACACUAGACGCAUGUCUAGAGUUUGAAAGAUGGUUCUGCUAUCACUCUUGGAUGGACCUGCGGUGCAUUAGCUAGUUGGUAAGGUAACGGCUUACCAAGGCAAUGAUGCAUAGCCGAGUUGAGAGACUGAUCGGCCACAUUGGGACUGAGACACGGCCCAAACUCCUACGGGAGGCAGCAGUAGGGAAUCUUCCACAAUGGACGAAAGUCUGAUGGAGCAACGCCGCGUGAGUGAAGAAGGGUUUCGGCUCGUAAAGCUCUGUUGGUAGUGAAGAAAGAUAGAGGUAGUAACUGGCCUUUAUUUGACGGUAAUUACUUAGAAAGUCACGGCUAACUACGUGCCAGCAGCCGCGGUAAUACGUAGGUGGCAAGCGUUGUCCGGAUUUAUUGGGCGUAAAGCGAGUGCAGGCGGUUCAAUAAGUCUGAUGUGAAAGCCUUCGGCUCAACCGGAGAAUUGCAUCAGAAACUGUUGAACUUGAGUGCAGAAGAGGAGAGUGGAACUCCAUGUGUAGCGGUGGAAUGCGUAGAUAUAUGGAAGAACACCAGUGGCGAAGGCGGCUCUCUGGUCUGCAACUGACGCUGAGGCUCGAAAGCAUGGGUAGCGAACAGGAUUAGAUACCCUGGUAGUCCAUGCCGUAAACGAUGAGUGCUAAGUGUUGGGAGGUUUCCGCCUCUCAGUGCUGCAGCUAACGCAUUAAGCACUCCGCCUGGGGAGUACGACCGCAAGGUUGAAACUCAAAGGAAUUGACGGGGGCCCGCACAAGCGGUGGAGCAUGUGGUUUAAUUCGAAGCAACGCGAAGAACCUUACCAGGUCUUGACAUCCAGUGCAAACCUAAGAGAUUAGGUGUUCCCUUCGGGGACGCUGAGACAGGUGGUGCAUGGCUGUCGUCAGCUCGUGUCGUGAGAUGUUGGGUUAAGUCCCGCAACGAGCGCAACCCUUGUCAUUAGUUGCCAUCAUUAAGUUGGGCACUCUAAUGAGACUGCCGGUGACAAACCGGAGGAAGGUGGGGAUGACGUCAAGUCAUCAUGCCCCUUAUGACCUGGGCUACACACGUGCUACAAUGGACGGUACAACGAGAAGCGAACCUGCGAAGGCAAGCGGAUCUCUUAAAGCUGUUCUCAGUUCGGACUGUAGGCUGCAACUCGCCUACACGAAGCUGGAAUCGCUAGUAAUCGCGGAUCAGCACGCCGCGGUGAAUACGUUCCCGGGCCUUGUACACACCGCCCGUC
rnacentral:rRNA from 1 species